UAGGGAGACCCACCUUGGGAGUCCUUGGUAGCGAACGGACACCCAGAGGUCAUCCCAGGUUGGUCGGGGUUGAGGGGAUGGCUGACUGAGGUUCUGGGGUGGCGGUGAAUGGAAAUGGGCUAUUAGCUCAGGUGGUUAGAGCGCACCCCUGAUAAGGGUGAGGUCCCUGGUUCGAGUCCAGGAUGGCCCAGAGCUCUCCCAACAGGGGCUAAGUCUGGACUGGGGGUAUAGCUCAGUUGGUAGAGCGCUGCCUUUGCACGGCAGAAGUCAGCGGUUCGAGUCCGCUUACCUCCACCAAGCCAAAGGGAGUAGAAGCCGGAGAAGCAGGUUGGCUGAGAGCUUAGGAAGAGAGCUAGGCUUACAGCCGGCCUGAGCCGGCAGGCACCUUGAAAACUGCAUAGCAAGAGAGCCGAGCAGGUAGACCACCAAUGGAUGCGGUCAAGUAACUAAGGGCGCAC
rnacentral:tRNA from 1 species